UACGAAGGGGCUAGCGUUGUUCGGAAUUACUGGGCGUAAAGGGCGCGUAGGCGGGAUGGCAAGUCGGUCGUGAAAUCCCUCGGCUCAACCGAGGAACGUCGAUCGAUACUGCUGUUCUUGAGGAUUGCAGAGGAGACUGGAAUUCCCGGUGUAGCGGUGAAAUGUGUAGAGAUCGGAGGAAGACCAGUGGCGAAGGCGGGUCUCUGGACAGUUCCUGACACUGAGGCACGAAGGCCAGGGAGCAACGGGAGUU
rnacentral:rRNA from 1 species